rnacentral:rRNA from 1 species
CCUACGGGAGGCAGCAGUGAGGAAUAUUGGUCAAUGGGCGCGAGCCUGAACCAGCCAAGUAGCGUGAAGGAUGACUGCCCUACGGGUUGUAAACUUCUUUUAUAAAGGAAUAAAGUGACGCACGUGUGCAUUUUUGUACGUACUUUAUGAAUAAGGAUAGGCUAAACCCGGGCCAGCAGCCGCGGUAAUACGGAGGAUCCGAGCGUUAUCCGGAUUUAUUGGGUUUAAAGGGAGUGUAGAUGGGUUGUUAUGUCAGGGGUAAAAUGGCGGGGCUCAACCCCGGCCAGCCGUUGAAACUGGCGACCACGAGUGAGCGAGAGGGAUGCGGAAUGCGGGGUGUAGCGGUGAAAUGCGUAGAUAUAACGCAGAACUCCGAUUGCGAAGGCAGCAUACCGGCGCCCUACUGACGCUGAGGCACGAAAGCGUGGGUAUCGAACAGGAUUAGAUACCCCUGUAGUC